UACGGAGGGUGCGAGCGUUGUCCGGAAUCACUGGGCGUAAAGGGCGCGUAGGCGGCUCAUGAAGGCUGUGGUGAAAGUCCGGGGCUCAACCUCGGAUCGGCCGUGGCGACUCGUGGGCUGGAGCACUGUAGAGGCGGGUGGAAUUCCGGGUGUAGCGGUGAAAUGCGUAGAUAUCGGGAGGAACACCUGUGGUGUAGACGGCUAUCUGGACGGCGACUGACGCUGAGACACGAAAGCGUGGGUAGCAAACAGG
rnacentral:rRNA from 1 species